rnacentral:rRNA from 1 species
GACAGAGGAUGCAAGCGUUAUCCGGAAUGAUUGGGCGUAAAGCGUCUGUAGGUGGCUUUUCAAGUCCGCCGUCAAAUCCCAGGGCUCAACCCUGGACAGGCGGUGGAAACUACCAAGCUGGAGUACGGUAGGGGCAGAGGGAAUUUCCGGUGGAGCGGUGAAAUGCAUUGAGAUCGGAAGGAACGCCGGUGGCGAAAGCGAUCCGCUGGACCCUUUCUGACGCUGAUGCGCGAAAGCCAGGGGAGCGAACGGG